rnacentral:rRNA from 1 species
UACAGAGGGGGGCGAGCGUUAUUCGGAAUUAUUGGGCGUAAAGGGCGCGUAGGCGGCCUUUCAAGUGACGGGUGAAAUCCCCAGGCUUAACCUGGGAACUGCGUCGGAUACUGGAUGGCUUGAAUUCGGGAGAGGGAUGCAGAAUUCCAGGUGUAGCGGUGAAAUGCGUAGAUAUCUGGAGGAAUACCGGUGGCGAAGGCGGCAUCCUGGACCGACAUUGACGCUGAACGGCGAAAGCUAGGGGAGCAAACGGG